rnacentral:rRNA from 1 species
UAGACCGCCUGGGGAGUACGGCCGCAAGGUUAAAACUCAAAUGAAUUGACGGGGGCCCGCACAAGCGGUGGAGCAUGUGGUUUAAUUCGAUGCAACGCGAAGAACCUUACCUGGUCUUGACAUCCACGGAAAAAUUCAGAGAUGGAAUGUGCCUUCGGGAACCGUGAGACAGGUGCUGCAUGGCUGUCGUCAGCUCGUGUUGUGAAAUGUUGGGUUAAGUCCCGCAACGAGCGCAACCCUUAUCCUUUGUUGCCAGCGAUUAGGUCGGGAACUCAAAGGAGACUGCCAGUGAUAAACUGGAGGAAGGUGGGGAUGACGUCAAGUCAUCAUGGCCCUUACGACCAGGGCUACACACGUGCUACAAUGGCGCAUACAAAGAGAAGCGAUCUCGCGAGAGCAAGCGGACCUCAUAAAGUGCGUCGUAGUCCGGAUUGGAGUCUGCAACUCGACUCCAUGAAGUCGGAAUCGCUAGUAAUCGUGGAUCAGAAUGCCACGGUGAAUACGUUCCCGGGCCUUGUACACACCGCCCGUCACACCAUGGGAGUGGGUUGCAAAAGAAGUAGGUAGCUUAACCUUCGGGAGGGCGCUUACCACUUUGUGAUUCAUGACUGGGGUGAAGUCGUAACAAGGUAACCGUAGGGGAACCUGCGGUUGGAUCACCUCCUUACCUUAAAGAA